rnacentral:rRNA from 1 species
UACGAAGGGGGCUAGCGUUGCUCGGAAUCACUGGGCGUAAAGGGUGCGUAGGCGGGUCUUUAAGUCAGGGGUGAAAUCCUGGAGCUCAACUCCAGAACUGCCUUUGGUACUGAGGAUCUUGAGUUCGGGAGAGGUGAGUGGAACUGCGAGUGUAGAGGUGAAAUUCGUAGAUAUUCGCAAGAACACCAGUGGUGAAGGCGGCUCACUGGCCCGAUACUGACGCUGAGGCACGAAAGCGUGGGGAGCAAACAGG